CAGUCGCCACGGUAAUACGAAGGGUGCAAGCGUUAAUCGGAAUUACUGGGCGUAAAGCGUGCGUAGGUGGUGGUUUAAGUCCGUUGUGAAAGCCCUGGGCUCAACCUGGGAAUUGCAGUGGAUACUGGGUCACUAGAGUGUGGUAGAGGGUAGUGGAAUUUCCGGUGUAGCAGUGAAAUGCGUAGAGAUCGGAAGGAACAUCUGUGGCGAAGGCGACUAUCUGGGCCAACACUGACACUGAGGCACGAAAGCGUGGGGAGCAAACAGGAUUAGAUACCCCUGUAGUCCCUGUCUCUUAUAC
rnacentral:rRNA from 1 species